rnacentral:lncRNA from 1 species
GUGCCAUCGACUACAUCAACCAUCGAUGAUUGCCAUCGACGACGGCCAUCCAUCCUUUGAGAGCAUCUUCAACCGGAAGCAAGGUCGGCUUACCCCGACUUCGUGAAAGGUUAAGUGUGACGAAGGUAUCCGUUCCGUCACAAUUUUUUCCUUGCCAUUACACCUUGAUAGCCCCACCAUCUUUGCGAUUACCUUCAUACCUAUUGAGACUAGCUAUCCGAGCAUUGAUGGGCUUCGCAAAAACUUGAGCACCAUUGUCCGCAUGUUGUGUAUGAGUCUACCACUGAGCCAUCUACUUCUGAUGUGCCAUCCUCCUCAUCCUAGCUUGCUUAUGGCAUGUCAUCGCCCGCUUCUACCUAUUGACCACUAUGUUUUUUAUAGUGCUAACAUGUUGUUCUUCGGUCGACUUCUUAUCGCGAUGCUGUUGUUCAUCCCGAAACUUCCGGAGCAUCCGGCCUAACAAGAGACAUUACCCAAAAUUUCAGCAUCAACCUUUUCACCGUUUUGGCCAUAACUAAUUCAUCCAGAGUCAAAUUUUCGUGUUCCUUAGCUUGAUUUGUAGCUAUUGACAUCCCCCAUCCCACAAAAGUAGUUCCAAAAUCAUUUGACUCCAUCAAUUUUUCAGAUAUUUGGCAUCUUUGCCUACUAGGCCCUCCACCAUAACUUCCGCACCACCACCAUAGCCUUCUGCAACCUAACCCAUUUUGGCUCCCAUUGCAUUUGUAGUUGUUUGAGUUGUGAUUUGAGCUCCUAAGGUGUUUCGGCUACUUAGGGACAGUUGCUCCUUCAUCAACCACCGGUGACUUGUAUCGUGCCAUCGAC